UUGUGCUCGCGAUUUUCGGAUAUCAAACCAUUAAUUGAUUUGAAUCGUCAAUCUUUGAACUCUCGAUUUUUAUUCGUGGGAAGGGAAAAAAUGAGUAAAAACCCUUAAGACUCUGAAUUCGGGGGUUGGUUACGCGAAGGGAAGGUGCUAGCACCCUAAGCGUCUAUGGUAUUCCAUAGGAACCUCUUACCUAUAUUAUCUUGUGCUAAAUUCAUUUGCUUACUUGAAAAAUUAUUACCUAAAAAUCUAAGUGAAAGAAUGGAGGGAGAAGAAGUAUGUUUCUGAUUAUUUUUAUUUGAUUUGGAAGGACAAGUCCUCUGCCUACGUACCCUUUUGGGAAAGGGAUCAAAACCGACGUAGUUCCACUCAAAAAUUUCUUUGGUGGGUUAGGUUG
rnacentral:lncRNA from 1 species